GGGGAAUUUCCGCAAUGGGCGAAAGCCUGACGGAGCAACGCCGCGUGAGGGAUGAAGGCCUCUGGGCUGUAAACCUCUUUUCUCAAGGAAGAAGAACUGACGGUACUUGAGGAAUAAGCCACGGCUAAUUCCGUGCCAGCAGCCGCGGUAAUACGGGAGUGGCAAGCGUUAUCCGGAAUUAUUGGGCGUAAAGCGUCCGCAGGCGGCCUUGAAAGUCUGUCGUUAAAGCGUGGGGCUCAACUCCAUUUCAGCGAUGGAAACUACAAGGCUCGAGUGUGGUAGGGGCAGAGGGAAUUCCCGGUGUAGCGGUGAAAUGCGUAGAUAUCGGGAAGAACACCAGUGGCGAAGGCGCUCUGCUGGGCCAUAACUGACGCUCAUGGACGAAAGCUAGGGGAGCGAAAGGGAUUAGAUACCCCUGUAGUC
rnacentral:rRNA from 1 species